CAUUCCCGUCUGAUGAAGCAUUAAGACUGAAACGGAUCGCUGCAGUUCAUAGGAAUGACUGGGAACCCAGUAAACAGUUCGUUAUAUGUGAACUGAUUUCACUGCAGACGACAUUGAGAAAAUUACCAGUGCUUACGACCCAAAACUGGCAAACUCUUUACAGCACCUUUGGACCGUCCACGUUUAAAGAAACGUUCGUGAAAAUUUAUCGUAAAGGGUACUUGUAAUCAGUUUUCAGAUUAAUGUUCAGAUGCCGUACCUUCAAAGUUGCAAGGAUGAACUACGUAUUUAUCUUCAAAACAAGCACCAGCUCGAGAAGAUCCAGAGAGUCGCGAACGUUUGGAGAACCAAGCACUUGAGAAAGUCAUUGAGCAGAGUGUGGGAUCACACAAAAAAUGAUGGAAAAGAGUUCAUUUGCUAGUUUAGAAGAUUUUAAAUCAAAAUUAUCUGAUUGUGAAAAGCACAGUG